GACGAACGCUGGCGGCGCGCCUAAUACAUGCAAGUCGAGCGAAUGACGAGAAGCUUGCUUCUCUGAUUUAGCGGCGGACGGGUGAGUAACACGUGGGCAACCUGCCCUACAGAUCGGGAUAACUCAGGGAAACCUGGGCUAAUACCGGAUAAUCCUUCGAAUCACAUGUUUUGAAGUUGAAAGGCGCUUCGGCGUCACUGUAGGAUGGGCCCGCGGUGCAUUAGCUAGUUGGUGGGGUAACGGCCUACCAAGGCAACGGUGCAUAGCCGACCUGAGAGGGUGAUCGGCCACAGUGGGACUGAGACACGGCCCAAACUCCUACGGGAGGCAGCAGUAGGGAAUCUUCCACAAUGGACGAAAGUCUGAUGGAGCAACGCCGCGUGAGUGAUGAAGGUUUUCGGAUUGUAAAACUCUGUUGUAAGGGAAGAACAAGUACGUUAGGAAAUGAACGUACCUUGACGGUACCUUAUUAGAAAGCCACGGCUAACUACGUGCCAGCCGCCGCAGUAA
rnacentral:rRNA from 1 species